UGAGUAACACGUGGGUGAUCUGCCCUGCACUUUGGGAUAAGCCUGGGAAACUGGGUCUAAUACCGAAUAUGAUCAUGGCCUUCAUGGGUUGUGGUGGAAAGCUUUUGCGGUGUGGGAUGGGCCCGCGGCCUAUCAGCUUGUUGGUGGGGUAAUGGCCUACCAAGGCGACGACGGGUAGCCGGCCUGAGAGGGUGUCCGGCCACACUGGGACUGAGAUACGGCCCAGACUCCUACGGGAGGCAGCAGUGGGGAAUAUUGCACAAUGGGCGCAAGCCUGAUGCAGCGACGCCGCGUGAGGGAUGACGGCCUUCGGGUUGUAAACCUCUUUCAGCAGGGACGAAGCGCAAGUGACGGUACCUGUAGAAGAAGGACCGGCCAACUACGUGCCAGCAGCCGCGGUAAUACGUAGGGUCCGAGCGUUGUCCGGAAUUACUGGGCGUAAAGAGCUCGUAGGUGGUUUGUCG
rnacentral:rRNA from 1 species